rnacentral:rRNA from 1 species
AACGUAGGAGACAAACGUUAUCCGGAGUUACUGGGCGUAAAGGGCGUGCAGGUGGUCUGUUAAGUCUGGCGUGAAAGCUCUCGGCUAAACCGGGAGAGGUCGUUGGAUACUGGCGGACUAGAGGGCGGUAGAGGCGUGUGGAAUUCCGGGUGUAGUGGUGAAAUGCGUAGAGAUCCGGAGGAACACCAGUGGCGAAGGCGACACGCUGGGCCGUACCUGACACUAAAACGCGACAGCAUGGGGAGCGAACGGG